rnacentral:rRNA from 1 species
GAUGAACGCUGGCGGCGUGCCUAAUACAUGCAAGUCGAGCGAAUGGAUUAAGAGCUUGCUCUUAUGAAGUUAGCGGCGGACGGGUGAGUAACACGUGGGUAACCUGCCCAUAAGACUGGGAUAACUCCGGGAAACCGGGGCUAAUACCGGAUAACAUUUUGAACCGCAUGGUUCGAAAUUGAAAGGCGGCUUCGGCUGGCACUUAUGGAUGGACCCGCGUCGCAUUAGCAAGUUGGUGAGGUAACGGCUCACAAAGGCAACGAUGCGUAGCCGACCUGGGAGGGUGAUCGGCCACACUGGGACUGAGACACGGCCCAGACUCCUACGGGAGGCAGCAGUAGGGAAUCUUCCGCAAUGGACGAAAGUCUGACGGAGCAACGCCGCGUGAGUGAUGAAGGCUUUCGGGUCGUAAAACUCUGUUGUUAGGGAAGAACAAGUGCUAGUUGAAUAAGCUGGCACCUUGACGGUACCUAACCAGAAAGCCACGGCUAACUACGUGCCAGCAGCCGCCGUAA